rnacentral:rRNA from 1 species
UAGCGGCGGACGGGUGAGUAACACGUGGGCAACCUGCCCUGCAGAUCGGGAUAACUCCGGGAAACCGGUGCUAAUACCGAAUAGUUUGCGGCCUCUCAUGAGGCUGCACGGAAAGACGGUUUCGGCUGUCACUGCAGGAUGGGCCCGCGGCGCAUUAGCUAGUUGGUGGGGUAACGGCCCACCAAGGCGACGAUGCGUAGCCGACCUGAGAGGGUGAUCGGCCACACUGGGACUGAGACACGGCCCAGACUCCUACGGGAGGCAGCAGUAGGGAAUCUUCCGCAAUGGACGAAAGUCUGACGGAGCAACGCCGCGUGAGUGAAGAAGGUUUUCGGAUCGUAAAACUCUGUUGUGAGGGAAGAACAAGUACCAAGUAACUACUGGUACCUUGACGGUACCUCACCAGAAAGCCACGGCUAACUACGUGCCAGCAGCCGCGGUAAUACGUAGGUGGCAAGCGUUGUCCGGAAUUAUUGGGCGUAAAGCGCGCGCAGGCGGUCCUUUAAGUCU